ACAUGCAAGUCGCACGAAGGUUUCGGCCUUAGUGGCGGACGGGUGAGUAACGCGUAGGAAUCUAUCCAUGGGUGGGGGAUAACUCUGGGAAACUGGAGCUAAUACCGCAUGAUACCUGAGGGUCAAAGGCGUAAGUCGCCUGUGGAGGAGCCUGCGUUCGAUUAGCUUGUUGGUGGGGUAAUGGCCUACCAAGGCGAUGAUCGAUAGCUGGUCUGAGAGGAUGAUCAGCCACACUGGGACUGAGACACGGCCCAGACUCC
rnacentral:rRNA from 1 species